rnacentral:lncRNA from 1 species
GAACGAAUAUUUAGGAGGUUUUUGCAACAUCUAGGUGAGAGGUUAGUGGUUUGGAGCAAAGUGGUGGGAAUGAAACUGGUGAAAAGUAGUUGAAUCCUGGCUAUAUUUUGUAAGUGGAAACAUUAUAUAUUAUUUCAGGCUAUUGUAAAACCACUUUUCACACAUUCUUCCUUCUUCGCAUUGAUUAGAUACUUCACACACGAGCAAAAGAACAUUCCAAGUUAAUUCAAUUCUAUUUCUCUAGAGUGAUACUUUUCUGAAAGGAAUAAAUCUGCCGUUGGUUUGUUGUAUGAAUUUUAAAAACUAUUAUCUUUCCUCUUUAGUCAAAUAAAACAUUAACCAGAAGUAUCUGGAACAUCUUAGGUGCCCAAUAAAUUUUUGUCGAAUGAAUGAAAGAUUGAAAGAUUUAAGUAGUAUGUUUAGUAUAUUUUUUAAAUGUAGGAAUGUCUCUUCUUAUUUAUUUAUCUUUUUUUUUUUUUUUUUUUGGUAAUUUCUUUCUGAAGGAGUUUGACUGGCCAAUAGAAGGCCUGCUUGUUCCGAACAGUCCUCCCAUGAAGAAACCCAUCUAUAAGACACCAGAGCAAUAUGUUCCUGUGAGACUCAGAGUUUUGCGGAAUGGAGAUAAAAAUAAAAACAGAGCACUAAUUAUAAUUGGUCCAGACAUCUCACCUAGACGGAAAACACAAAAUGUUGACACUGAAAGGAAAGAGAAUGUGAAAAUCCAUGUCACUCAAUAUUCUGAAACAGGAACAAACCAGGCUGAAUUUCACCAACUUUUGGAGAGGUAAAUAUUUAAUAUUUUAAAUGCAAAGGUAUUUUCCAUUCAAAUGCUUGAAUGAUUACGUAUAAAGCAUCGCACACAUCAUGUCUAUGUACCUUCAUUAGAAAACAAUUGUUAAUACAAUGAUUCUGGAGUUUUUAAUCUGUGAAAUACAUAAACUAUGUGACAGUCUGUGAUACCAAUGCUAAUAAAUCUAUUUAUUUUUUUCAAAUGUCAGGGUCUAGCAAGUUCCUCUUACCAACUCUGUAAAUAUAAAUUAUUUACAUCUUUAUAUAUUUCAUAGUGUUAUACCAUUUUAUUUGGUUUAUAUUUG